rnacentral:rRNA from 1 species
UACGAGGGGGGCGAGCGUUGUUCGGAAUCACUGGGCGUAAAGCGUGCGUAGGCUGCCGCGAAAGUUAGGAGUGAAAGCCCCAGGCUUAACCUGGGAACAGCUCUUAAUACUUCGCGGCUUGAAUUCGGGAGAGGAUAGCGGAAUUGUCAGUGUAGCAGUGAAAUGCGUAGAUAUUGACAGGAACACCAGUGGCGUAAGCGGCUAUCUGGACCGACAUUGACGCUGAGGCACGAAAGCGUGGGGAUCAAAC